CACCCCGCAGCUGAGGCGAGACGGGCCCCGCCCGCCGGCGCCCCCCGCCCCGGACUCACUGCGGAGGUUGUGGAUGAGCUCGGAGUGGCUGGCGCCUCCCGACUUCCAGGCCAUCGCUAGACACACUCUGCGGAGCAGGGAAAGCAAAUUCCAUGAUUGCAGACAAUUUCGGGGAACCUACUGUCAGUGCUGUGACUUUUGCAUUUGUGCCCCCUUCUGGUCCCUGUGAAACCAGCUUCCACACACCCAGGACUGCAAUUUUACAGCGUUUCCUCUCUUAACCAGGCGCAACCAUGCAGCAUUCCUGAUAUGAGGACACACACAGCCUAACAUACCACCAUGGGAGACACAGAUAUCGUCUUCUGUGCAAGAAACCAUCCUGGGAGGAAUGAACCUGUUCCAGUUCCACACAACGCAUAUACUCCAUCCCAUCAUUGCCGGUUCAAGUGAAGAAAAUGAGGCGAAGGUGGGAAUCUGCUUUUCUGGCUAGCAGUCAGUCCAGGGCAAGUCUGGCAGUUGCCCAAUGCAUACACCAGGUCCCAUCCAUAGACUUCCCAGACCUUUCCCAUCCAGUUCUUUUAAUCCUGGAGACAGAUCCACUGCUUCAUUCUGUAUUCUCCAUCUAACUUCUCCUAAGCAUGAUCUGGCAACCGCUCUACAGUCUGUGAGAGACUCCCAGCCUGCCCCAGAAUAUAAAAGGUCUCCCUGUUAUAUCCAGUGGGCUGGGAGAGAAGGAAAGAAGCCAUGGAGUUAGAGGAAUUCCCAAAGGGCAGCAAAUACAGAGAACAGACAGACAUUGUAAAAAUACACACACAAAAAUACUUCAUUGUUUUAAAUGCAAAAGACAUUUUCUGUUGUCAGAUGCAAGCAAACUGCUUUGCUCUCACAUAGAGAGGUCGUUGGCAAGAAACUAGCUGGCCCAUGUUUAAAAGCAUUCCAUGGAUACUUACCCCCUUGGGAGACCAGAAACACAAGAGAAACCAUUUACAUAUAAACUGACACUGCUUACCAGGACCAGCUUGAAUUAGGGUUAAGCUUGUCAUAGAGCACAGAGAAAGAGCCCACCUUUAUCUCCUAGGAACAUGCAGACUUGCCCAGGCGCUUUCUGACUGAAUGUACCUAUUGUCCAUCUGUUGGCUACAUUCUUGGCAUGACUAUUCAGAGAAUGACAAGAACUAAGUGUAAGCCUUCCUAAGCGAUAUCUGGGGUGUCUUGGAUGGAUACCAGGCAUGUGUGAAGGAAACCGCAUUGGCUCUGCAAGUUUCCAGGAACUUUAAGACAAGCCAAGUUGCCUCAAAGGGCCCUGAGAAACUAACAUGCACCCACAGUGGCAGGACGCACCCAUUCGUGCAGUAAACAAACAUGAGAGUCCUUAGCUCUUUCUGCUCUAUAACACCAGGCCAUAAGUCCAUUGUUUAAACUUAAGAGAAUAUCUGUUAAGAUAAAACUAAAAGGAACAUAGACAUUCUACACUAGAGUAAAAGACAAGCAGAAACAAUAAUAAAAAAUGUUUUCCAGCCAUCAUCGUUCACAUGGAAACUCUCCAUCUGCUCUGAUACUCAGCAUUCCUGUAUCCUCUUCCCCCUCACUUGUCCAAAUCAGCACAAGCACCUUGGUCCCUGGAUGCCCACUGUCAGUUGCAGACACCCACAUCUUCCACAGGUACAGCCAUCUCCCUAGCCCUUCCAGGGAGCUGGUGCAUGGACAGCCCUAUUAGGGAAGAGGCAUGGGAAUGCCAGCAGCCAGAGUGGGCUGUCACUUGAUUGUUCUGACAUGGAGAUCCCAACUAAUUUUAAGCACAUGUCAGAUCUCUCUCCUUUUCCGCACACGCACCCACAUCUCAAUCCCUUAGCAGUACUUACAAACAUUUAUAUAUAAACCCCUCCAUGCUACUAUUUCUGUUUCAUCCCUUCCCUCCCACCUCAAGAACCCAUUAGAUUUUUAAUUUUUUUGUAAUUUAAAAAGCAUAUGAAAAGUUGAUCAUCACUGUCUAAUCCCAUCUGCUUCUGCAUAUACAUACCACAAUCAGAAAUUUCCUUGUGAAAUGUUCCUGCUGAACUUUUCCUCAGUUAUGUCCCAAGCCCCACAUUAACUGGUUUCUACACCUACAGUCACUCCUGUCCCUGCCUUCAUUCUGUUUUUAACUUAAUCACUCUCCUUCAUCUAAUUUCUUUUCCUGUAAUCUCAAGCCAUUUUGGUGUGUGCCUUCAUUUUGUAUUUCCACUUCAGAAGUUCACAUUAUUUUGAACUCGGCAUCCCUCUUUUCCCAGCCCUGCACUCAAAGAGGAGGUGAGAAGAACCCAGGCAUAUCAGUGACUCUGUGUUAGGGAGCCGCAGGACUGGGACCACUCCGUGAGAGAAGGUGAGCCUGGAGCCAGGGAUGACAAUGCCACACAGCAGGACGCUAUCCCACCGUGUCCGAGCAAGGCAAGCAGAGCAGGGCUGGGAACAGUAAAUGGUUUUGCCAUCAAGCAAAGUGACAAGUCAGGCCCCAAGUCAAGCCAGGCACCAAGUCAGGGACGUGGCUGGACACAGGCCCUGCUACAACACAGCUCAGGCCAGGAGCAGGUGCCUCAGCCCAGGUAGGAGCCGCAGGUGAGGGCAAGUAAAGGCUUAUGAACGCAGCCAGGGCCCUGGCACUCUGCUCUUCAUUCUGCUCUGCAGUACCCUGCACAGCAACAGCGCUUGUUCAAGAGAUGGAACUGGGCACAACUCCAGGAGUUAUGACCAGCAGUAAAUACGGCAUCUCCAAAUAACUUUCUUAAAAUAUUGUUGAACGAUAAUUGGAAGAAAGCAGAUUAUAAGCAAAUAGGGUUCAGAAUUAGCUUUAUCCUGCCCUAGUACAUCCACUGAUCUAGUAAAUGCCUUCAUUCCCAGGCCCCCUAACCUCUGGCAGAGAGGCAGGCAUGCUUUCAGUUUUCUUCCCUUUCACUCACACUCCUAGCUUUAGCCACAUUUAAGGAUAAUCCAUAGAUGCUCCUCGUUGCCUUAGCUAACAGGUUUGGACGCAAUACCCAGGGUCAGUUUCAUCUAGACAUAACGUCCUUUUUGACAACCUCAGAAAUAUUUGAUGAGGCUUAUUUUCUCCCAGUGCUUAUUUCCUUCUUUUAUUUGUUUAUUUAAAUCUGCUAUUACACUGAAAAAAACUUAUUAACACAGUACACAUCUUUCAUAGUGAUCAAACACAGAGAAUAUAUUUAAAGGUUUACAGAGCAGCCCUAAAUCCAUCACAGCUCUCUCCUCCAUCACAUAACAUGCUGCCAACAUUUUCUUAAAAAAAAGUGUAAGACAGGGAAGAAAAAUUGUGAUUCUUCUUUCCCUCUUAAUGAAAGGGACACCAUCCAAGAGCACAAUAGAAAAAAUACGCACAGAAAUCACAAAGUAACCAACAGAAAUAUUUGCCUAAUAAAAUAUUUUGAUAAUCCCAAAGUGUUAUCUCUUCCACUUUUAGCUAUCUGCUCUGCGGCUGUAUUCCGAGGCUGCCUAUUGACCUUUCUCACAAGUGUUAUGAGAAUUAGCUGAAAAUACCCUUGCAGUUGACAGUGACUUGCAGGAUUGCUGUUAGCAGCUUAAUACAGGGCACCAGAGGUAUUGGCUACUGUAUAAUAAUAAUGCUACUGCGGCAUGCAACAAAGCUGGUUUAAGACUUGCAGUAUAGCAGACUACAAUGGCAUCCAGCUUUUUGAAUAUGCUCAGUGUUGGAUUCUGCUGUAUAAUUAUGAAAAAAAAAAAAAACCAACCAAAAAACCCAAACAACUAUUCCUCACAACUGAAGUUCAAAUGAUGCAUAAAGCAUAUAAAAUAUCACUGAUUUGGUAUCACAUCUGAAGGAUUACAAAACGGCAUAGCAGACUUGAUGAGGAACUCAAGAAUGCUGUAUAGAAAAACCGUGACAGAUGGCUUGGCAGGCAAACUGCAGUGACAUGGGUGAAAGUUUGGCCAAGCCACUGCUGCUAAUGCUGUUAAGUCCACCUGACAGAACCUCACAGAGCGGGCAGCUGCAGCUUUGAAAAAAAUGCAGCAGAAAACCAGGUUGUACAAGUAGGAAGGUGCUUGUGAAAGUCCCUUACUGCACUGCAGUGACUGGACAGAUAGUCCCAUCUGAAAUGAC